GGAGGGGAUAGCUCAGUGGUAGAGUGCGUGCUUAGCAUGCACGAGAUCCUGGGUUCAACCCCCAGUCCCUCCA
rnacentral:tRNA from 1 species